rnacentral:lncRNA from 1 species
CACCGGAGAAUCGUAGAUGACUAUGCAAAUAAUACAGUCGACUGAAUAUAAAAGAGCAGAGAUAGAGAAAUUCAAACACUGGUUUUUAUACUGGUUCGACCUCAAUGCUUACAUCCAGUAUCCUUCCAAUAUAAAUUUCCUCUCUAACCCUCUAACCAAAAUAUAGCCAAAACAAUACAGCAAAAUUGCAACAAGAUGUCCCCUCUCCUACAAUCUGCAAAACCACUUUGAAUAGCCC